AACGAACGCUGGCGGCAUGCCUAACACAUGCAAGUCGAACGAGACCUUCGGGUCUAGUGGCGCACGUGUGCGUAACGCGUGGGAACCUGCCCUUAGGUUCGGAAUAACUCCCCGAAAGGGGUGCUAAUACCGGAUAAUGUCUUCGGACCAAAGAUUUAUCGCCUUUGGAUGGGCCCGCGUUGGCUUAGCUAGUUGGUAGGGUAAAAGCCUACCAAGGCGACGAUCCAUAGCUGGUCUGAGAGGAUGAUCAGCCACACUGGGACUGAGACACGGCCCAGACUCGUACGGGAGGGAGCAGUGGGGAAUAUUGGACGAGGGGCGAAAGCCUGAUCAAGCAAUGCCGCGUGAGUGAUGAAGGCGUUAGGGUUGUAAAGCUCUUUUACCCGGGAUGAUAAUGACAGUACCGGGAGAAUAAGCUCCGGCUAACUACGUG
rnacentral:rRNA from 1 species